rfam:Schistosoma mattheei strain Denwood, Zambia genome assembly, scaffold: SMTD_scaffold0007800
AGCUUUUAGAAUUCGUGCUGAGAUUUCGUCAGACACCAAUCUAUUAGGGCUGACCAGACCUCCAAGAUAAAUGAAGUU